ACCAGUCAGUUUUGUAAGUUACC
rnacentral:miRNA from 14 species